AUUUAACUUUUUAAAAUGUCUUUCAGUGAAAAUGUGCAGCAAGCAUACUGGGAACUGAAGAGGGAAAUGUCUAACUUGCACCUGGUGACUGAAAUGCAAGCUGAGGUUCUACGAAAACUGAAAACCCCAACUGCAAUCAAGAAAGCUUCUACUAGUGCACCAGUACAAUGUGUUGAAGACGUGGAGAAGAACCUCACAAAGUUAUAUUUGACUUCUUCUGGGGCAGUCUACAAAAAACCCUCUCUUUCACAAAAUGACAAACUUCUCUGCAAUGCCAUAGCUUCCCCUCUCCCAAGAGAUGUAAAAAUCCUGUCUGAACAGGCAAAUCUCCAGUCAUGGACAGAUGAGAGACCCAUCCCGAUCGGCAGCACAAUCUGUCAUGAACAAAACUCGUAUGGAAAGAGCUCUCUGGAAGAUAAUUCCUGGGUGUUCCCAAGCCCUCCAAAACCUAGCGAGACAAUGUUUUGGGAAAUGAAAAAUAAAUCAUCUUUGUCCAACUACCCAAUAGAUUACCUGGAUCAGUGUAAUCAAAACUGCCUGCACAAGAGCUAAGUAGUUCCUGAGACAGACUGGGGCUGAUUCUGAAUAGGUACCUGAGUACUAGAAUUUUUUAAAGAGAAAAAUAGUUUAGCUGAAAUGUGGAGAUAACUACUUUUGUCUUGUUCCAAGAUUGGGGGAGGACCUGAUUACUCGUUGCUGUAAAUCAGGACUAAAUCAAAGGAGCUAUACUCGUAAUACAGGUGUAAGCAAAUCAGAAUCAGCCCCUAAAUACUUGGUCCUCUUAUACUGAACAUGACACACACUUGCAAAUAUUACACAGACUGAAUAUUGAACUCUUGGACUAAAUCAAAAAAAUCCAGCUCUGCAUUUCAGUUAGCUGUAUGUCCAUAACACUGCUCAUAAAGGCAUUUGGUAUCCUGUGUUCGAAACUUCUUGAAAGCUGUGAGCUUACCUCUGACAGAAGUGUCUUUCAGAUAUUAAACUCUCAGUUUCAGACUUUCGGCCCUAGAGUGACAUAAUUAAUCUUCAAAACAGCUUGGCUGCAGAUACUGACACCUAAUAGAGUACAAGAG